AAUGAUAUGCCUGAAAAAGGAUUAUUUUGAUAGAAUAAAUUAUAUAUUUUUUUAAAUAUUUUCAUUA
rnacentral:tRNA from 1 species